rnacentral:rRNA from 1 species
UACAGAGGGUGCAAGCGUUGUCCGGAUUUAUUGGGCGUAAAGAGCGUGUAGGCGGCCAGGUAGGUCUGCUGUGAAAACUCGAGGCUUAACCUCGAGAUGUCGGCGGAAACCAUCUGGCUAGAGUCCGGAAGAGGAGAAUGGAAUUCCCGGUGUAGCGGUGAAAUGCGCAGAUAUCGGGAAGAACACCCGUGGCGAAGGCAGGUCUCUGGGCCAUAACUGACGCUGAGAAGCGAAAGCGUGGGGAGCGAACAGG